rnacentral:rRNA from 1 species
CUGUUGAUCCUGUAUAAAGUCAUAUGCUUGUCUCAAAGAUUAAGCCAUGCAUGUCUAAGUAUAAGCAAUCUAUACGGUGAAACUGCGAAUGGCUCAUUAAAUCAGUUAUCGUUUAUUUGAUAGUACCUUACUACUUGGAUAACCGUGGUAAUUCUAGAGCUAAUACAUGCUAAAAACCCCGACUUCGGGAGGGGUGUAUUUAUUAGAUAAAAAACCAACGCCCUUCGGGGCUUCUUGGUGAUUCAUGAUAACUUAACGAAUCGCAUGGCCUUGCGCCGGCGAUGGUUCAUUCAAAUUUCUGCCCUAUCAACUUUCGAUGGUAGGAUAGUGGCCUACCAUGGUAUCAACGGGUAACGGGGAAUUAGGGUUCUAUUCCGGAAAGGGAGCCUGAGAAACGGCUACCACAUCCAAGGAAGGCAGCAGGCGCGCAUAUUACCCAAUCCCGACACGGGGAGGUAGUGACAAAAAAUACUGAUACAGGGCUCUUUUGGGUCUUGUAAUUGUAAUGAGUACAAUUUAAAUCCCUUAACGAGGAACAUUUGAAGGGCAAACUGGU